CGACCCCAGGUCAGGCGGGACUACCCGCCGAGUUUAAGCACAUAAAUAAGCGGAGGAGAAGAAACUUACAAGGAUUCCCCUAGCAACGGCGAGCGAAUCGGGAGCAGCCCAGCUUGAGAAUCGGGCGGCUGUGCCGUUCGAAUUGUAGUCUGGAGAGGCGUCCUCAGCGACGGACCGGGCCCAAGUCCCCUGGAAAGGGGCGCCUGGGAGGGUGAGAGCCCCGUCCGGCCCGGACCCUGUCGCCCCACGAGGCGCCAUCAACGAGUCGGGUUGUUUGGGAAUGCAGCCCAAAUCGGGCGGUAGACUCCGUCCAAGGCUAAAUACAGGCGAGAGACCGAUAGCGAACAAGUACCGCAAGGGAAAGAUGAAAAGGACUUAGAAAAGAGAGUCAAAGAGUGCUUGAAAUUGCCGGGAGGGACGCAGAUGGGGGCCGACGAUGCGCCCCGGCCGUAUGCGGAACGGCUCUUGCCGGUCCGCCACUUGGCUCGGGGUGUGGACUGUUGUCGGCCGCGCCGGCGGCCAAAGCCCGGGGGCCCUAGGUGCCCCCGGUGGCCAUCGUCGACACAGCUGGUACCCGCGCGCCGAAAGGCGUGUCCCUCGGGGCACUGCGCUGCAACGGCCUGCGGGCUCCCCAUCCGAACCGUCUUGAAACACGGACCAAGGAGUCUGACAUGCGUGUGAGUCGACGGGUUCUGAAACCUGGGAUGCGCAAGGAAGCUGACGAGUGGGAGGCCCUCACGGGCCGCACCGCUGGCCGACCCUGUUCUUCUGUGAAGGGUUCGAGUUGGAGCAUGCCUGUCGGGACCCGAAAGAUGGUGAACUAUGCCUGAGCGGGGCGAAGCCAGAGGAAACUCUGGUGGAGGCUCGAAGCGAUACUGACGUCCAAAUCAUUCGUCUGACUUGGGUAUAGGGGCGAAAGACUAAUCGAACCAUCUAGUAGCUGGUUCCCUCCGAAGUUUCCCUCAGGAUAGUUGGAGCCCAUUACGAGUUCUAUCAGGUAAAGCCAAUGAUUAGAGGCAUCGGGGACGCAACGUCCUCGACCUAUUCUCAAACUUUAAAUAGGUAGGAUGGCACGGCUGCUUCGGUGAGCCGUGCCACGGAAUCGGGUGCUCCAAGUGGGCCAUUUUUGGUAAGCAGAACUGGUGAUGCGGGAUGAACCGGAAGCCGGGUUACGGUGCCCAACUGCGCGCUAACCUAGAACCCACAAAGGGUGUUGGUCGAUUAAGACAGCAGGACGGUGGUCAUGGAAGUCGAAAUCCGCUAAGGAGUGUGUAACAACUCACCUGCCAAAUCAACUAGCCCCGAAAAUGGAUGGCGCUGAAGCGCGCGACCCACACCCGGUCAUCUGGGCGAGCGCCAUGCCCCGAUGUGUAGGAGGGCGCAACGGCCGCUGCAAAACACAGGGCGCGAGCCCGGGCGGAGCGGCCGUCGGUGCAGNNNNNNNNNNNNNNNNNNNNNNNNNNNNNNNNNNNNNNNNNNNNNNNNNNNNNNNNNNNNNNNNNNNNNNNNNNNNNNNNUGUGGCGGUUGACGGCGACGUUAGGAAGUCCGGAGACGCCGGCGGGGGCCUCGGGAAGAGUUAUCUUUUCUGCUUAACGGCCUGCCAACCCUGGAAACGGUUCUGUCGGAGGUAGGGUCCAGUGGCCGGAAGAGCACCGCACGUCGCGCGGUGUUCGGUGUGCCCCCGGCGGCCCAUGAAAAUCCGGAGGACCGAGUACCGUUCACGCCCGGUCGUACUCAUAACCGCAUCAGGUCUCCAAGUUGAACAACCUCUGGCCAAUGGAACAAUGUAGGCAAGGGAAGUCGGCAAAACGGAUCCGUAACUUCGGGAAAAGGAUUGGCUCUGAGGACUGGGCUCGGGGGUCCCGGCCCCGAACCCAUCGGCUGUCGGCGGAUUGCUCGAGCUGCUCACGCGGCGAGAGCGGGUCGCCGCGUGCCGGCCGAGGGACGGACCAGGAAUCGCCCCUUCGGGGGCUUUCCCCGAGCAUGAAACAGUCGACUCAGAACUG
rfam:Triticum aestivum genome assembly, contig: Triticum_aestivum_CS42_TGACv1_scaffold_293250_4AL